UUGAUGACCUAAAUGUGGACAUCUACAUAAUCAUUAAUUGUUACCACAAUACUACAAGGCAAUAUAAGCACAAUUUGCCUCUCUGAUCCCUAAACAUAGCCUAAUAUCACUCACUCAAUCAGCAUCAUACUGGAAAUGAUAUGACCAAUUAUGGCAGGUAGUAGAUGUCCAGUCACACUGGUAUUACUUUUAGCCAGAUGUCUCUUGUCCUUGUGAGUUCUUUUGGUCCUAAAUAGUGAAAUAGCAACAGAGCGAACCAACUCACCUACUCAAGGCAGAUUUCUCAUUUCUAGACUUGUCCUGAAACCAACAGAUCCAGAUCUCUCCUACCAAAUACCAUGAAAUUUAAAGAAACAAAACUUACAAAAUAAAGCAGCAGCAACAACAACAAUGAAAUCUUAAAAGAGUAAAUAUAAGUAUCAAGCAUCAACCCCCCUCUCCAAAUAACAUCUCUCUUCUUCAAUAAGGUUCCCAGAAGAAUCCCUUCAAAACCUGGUGGUCUGAUACCCUGUGCUACGUAACUUGUGACCCAUCCGUUUGUCAUGUUCUUCGGGAAUGUGGCUGAGGGGCUGAGAUGUGACUUGAAAACAAAGGUAGAGCGAGAUAAUCUCAAAUUGAUUAUCAAGGAGUAGUUCAGACAACUAGUUCAGACCACAGAGAUAGUAGAACAGGUGGUCUGGCAUGGAUAGAGCAUCAGACAUUCACAGACUGUGCCAACAAGAGCCAUCUACUCAAAACAGCCAAAAGAAGAAGGAUCAUGGAAUGGGUUCUCACAUGAAACUGAUGCCCAGAAGCCCUCGGCAUGAAUAACAAAGGCAACCAGACCCACAAGCCAUACUGAGUUGAUACAAAACUGAUACCUGGGCUGACAUCCCAAAAGUGGCAAGUUAGAUGAUGAUGGCACAAAAGACAGAACACCUUGCUUCUGGUCAUUGUCAGCUCUGGGAAGAGAGGAGACUUUUAGAGGAGCAGCUGCAAGGAGCCUGAGAACAAAACUGGAAAUGCCUGUUGUGAAAGCCUUCACAGCUAUUAUUAACAAAAGAAAAUGUGUAUUUGUCAAUGGUGUGCUAGCUAGGUUUUGUCAGUCCAUUCUUAUGCCCAGGAAUGACCUCUUGUGUCGACCGGAUACAGUCAUCAAUGCAACUGUCCAGGUGCAACUGUUCUAUAAAGGGGAAGAGGAGUGGCUUUCCCCUGUAAAGUGGCCCUGUCAAAAUUCUAUAAAAAAAAGUCCAUUUAAAUUGAAU